UAAACUAAUAUAUUAGUUUAAACUUUAGACUUUAGAAACUUUAGAUAUUUUUUUCUCAGCCUCUCUGAGCAGCAGAAUAUUGCAGCUCUUGUUGUCUAAUUUUAGCAACUUUGAUGAACGUAAGGGUUGGAAAGAUAGAUAUACCUACCCGUGUAUAUAUAUAUAUGUGCUGCAUAUAAACCCACCCGUAUGUGGGGGAGGUGUAGUUGCUCGCUGUCUUUGCGCUGGUGGACAGAAGUGCCGGCGCAGCGAUCAGUGUGAGAUCACACGACGCUUGGUGAGAUAUGUGAAGAGGGACGAGCACACGUACUUAGGAGGGAAUCUGGUCAUUUUUCAAAAUAAAACAUUUUACAGAAGAAGAGAGUUGAAUGGCAAAAGUAUAUAUAUAUAUAUAUAUAUAUAUUGUUUGUUGUAUAUUGUUUGUUGUCCAGUAGCGGUCUGUGGGACCGCUGAUCGAGGGGGUUUCAUCCGUCCACGCCAUGGAGGUACAGUGGAUGGAUGCACUGUUGUUUGAGAAGCAACAGUCAGCCGGUAUUUAUUUUUAUUUCACACAUGUUUGCUAAGAUGAACGUGUGAGUCGGAGUAAAGUCUCUUGUAGAGCUGGAGGGAAGGUCGGGGUCAUCAAUAUUCAUUUCCACGACGAACACCUCACAGCGGAAUGAUCCAGAGUCCCAGUGAUCCGGCUGCAGGUGUUCUCUACCUGCGUGUGUGUGUGUGUGUCUGUGUGUGUGUGUGUGUGUGUGUGUGUGUGUGUGUGUGUGUGUGUGUGUGUGUGUCUGUGUGUGUGUGUGUGUCUGUGUGUGUCUGUGUGUGUGUGUGUGUGUGUGUGUGUGUGUGUGUAGUAUGAACUGUAGGUGUGUCCUCAGCGUGUCUGUUAGCAAAUAGUUUGCCUGGAGGAAAUCUCCUGAAAUAAACGAUUUUACUGCAGAUGCUGGAGGCCUCCACUCCCCUUCCUCCCCCUCCUCCUCCCCCGGUAGCCGUAUGUCGGUAUACAUGUUUACUGUCCCUCCGACGUCCAGUCACAUUUAUUUGGUGCGAUUGUUGACAUGAUUCAAGAAGCAGCCCAGAAUAUCUAGAAGGGAGGUGUUUUGUUGAGGUGGUCAUUAUCCAACAGUCAGAAAAUCUGCUGCUUGCUAUUUCUUUUGAGACGGAGAACCUAUUGAGGAGGAAAAUGUACAAAACAAAGCAUUUAAUGAUGUCCGCUGGAAGUGAUAUAGAUAUUGUUUCAUCAUCGUCUCACAUUUUGUGGACAAAUUGAUCAGUGGAGAAAAGAGUUGUCAGAUUAGUCAAUGCUCGUGGUUUGAAUAAAAAUGAUUACAGACAGUUUUAUAGCUUGAAAUUUAGGAUGAUAAAAAGUCCCUUGAUGUUAUAAAUAAGGACCAUUCGUGCAGCUUCGGUCGGUAUUUGUUGGGGUGACAUUAUGGACUCUCCUCUUCCUCUUUUGAUUGACAGGCAGUGACAUCGAGAGCAGGAAGGAAGCCGGAUAUUCUCCAGAUUCCAUAAAUUGGCAAUUAGCUUUAAUGAGCACUUUAACUUUAAUGAGAAGCUCGCAGAGCUCCUCUCUUCCAUUCGGUUCUUUUCAUGCGUGUGACGAACUCCACCGGACUCAACCCCCCCCACGCCCCCCACCUGCACAGCACGCUGUCCAGCUACUUGAGGUGUGUCGUUUGAAGACACCUCGACGUGGAGUGGACAGAAGGACCUGGGGAUCAAACCACCAACCCUGUGACAUGCAGGCCGGUCAGACUGAACACUGUUGGCUGAACCUCCCCAACAGAGCACCGAAACAAAGCUGAUACGCUCCACACAAAUCUUCCUCCUCCUUAUUUUACUCCUUUAUUUCUUGUUUCCUCUCAAUGUCAUUCCAUCUUAUUAUAAUGAAGCUCUGAUUCUGUACAGCCAGAAGCAUCUGAGCGGUGAGGAACCUCAGCCCACAGCGACGGCCUCUAUUAGGUUACCAGUGGAGCCCGGGAGGGAUGGAGGGACGCUAGGAUGGAGGAAUGGAGGGAUGGAGGGAUGGAGGGACGCUAGGAUGGGAGGAAUGAGGGGAUGGAAGGACGCUAGGAUAGAGGGACGGUAGGGAUAAAGCAAGGGAGGGACGAUAGGAUAGAGGGAUGGAGGGACGGUAGGAUGGAGGGACAGAGGGACGGGGUGGAGCGGGGGUGGAAAGCAUGAGCUGAGAUCGUUAGUUGGAGCAGAAACGCUGGCCUUGUUGACGUCAUGGAGGACAGAUGUGCUAAUGUUUCCAUGAUGAUCUUGAUAAAUUAAAACCUCUUCUACAGACCAAAAUGUUUGUGAAUAAAGAUAAUUUAUUAUUGCUUUUACCUCAUGUCUCCCGGUUUUAGCCGUGCUGAAUAAAGAAUAAAUGGAUUCAGGAUUGAAACUAUGGUUGAAAAGACGAAGCUAUUAAGACAUCAGAGAUCCUGACAGAGGACAAUGAAACAAUUUUCAGUUUAGUAAAAUACAGCCGGGCAAAGGCUAAUGUAGCAUAGAAAAGCUAUCACUAGCUAAUGAUGUGCUAACGUUUAUCUGGGACCAGGGAAAAUAACGUAUGCAUUUAAACUGGUGCGUACGCAGUGACGUGGAGGACGUGUAAUAUUUCCAUUGGGCGUACAGAACAUAUUCUAACAGUCGGAUCGUAAAACCACAGACCUGGUUCUCAGCGUUCUCACUGCGUCGAUUACCACGCCGUGAUCACUCGGAUGUGAGAGGGACAGCUCACCAGGGGGCUCAGAACACUAAUGAGAAUGAUGUGAGACCACCUACAGUACGGGGUGCCAGCUUUUGAAAUCCACAGGAAACCAGGAUAUGUGAUUAUGAAACAAACAUGUUUUCUUCUGAUCAACAGGAAGCCUGAUUGUUAUAUUCAUUCAUUCCUCCGAGCCGUUGAGCUCAACUGUUUCCCAUGAACUAUAUUAAAAUCGAUGGAGUGAAUCGGGAACAUUUGCUUUGCGUGCUAAUUUUCAUUGAUUUAUUUAUUCUGUUAAAGGAAGGAUAACUAGUGGUUUGGGCUGAUAGAAAUGAAUUAAAUUGUAAUCAUUUCAAUGAUCUCGUCUUCUGUAGUAAAAAUAGCAAACCUUAUUUUCACUUCUCUUAGAAUUACAGUCUCAUCUUCCAAGAAUAUGGAGGCGAGAUUCUUUAAUGUUUUGGAAGUUGUUCCACAGAGGUUUCUGUGAAGGUCUCCUCUCUCACUGUAGGAGAAGGACGAGAUGUUUCAUUACACAUUCUCCCUUCUGAGGGAAUAUGGAUCCCUCUCAUCUCCUUAAAGAGUCAUACAUUACAUAUGAGGCAUGCUAGAGGAGUGGGGUUUCAUACCAACCGUGAUUUAAAGCAGCUAAACUAGGCCAUCAGAUAUGAAAACCGAUAUUCAUAAAGCCUAAUAUUGGUCCUUGCAUGUGUGUCUUUCUUCCAACCGAGCGAUAACAGGUUCCUUCCUCACCAUGAACACAGCGUGUCUGAAGCCACAAAGCAGCUCCUCCUGAAGAAGAACUCUGUUCCCUCCCAUAUCCUCUACUGAUGAGACCACCUGAGGCAGCACAUCAGAUGGUCCAAGGAACCCAGGAGAAGGUGGUGUGGACUUCAGGGGGCGUAGUCACAAACACGCCGUAGAUUGUCACUAUUUCUGGCUCCUAACAUCUGAACACUGUGAUGAACCAUUGAAUGAGCUGCUUUCAAACCUCAGAAACUCCUUUAAACCUUCCAGCAGCUGGAGGUCAAUUGACGCUCUGCAGUUCUUCUCACAGAACAAGAUGUUUCUUGUUGUGAAAGUUAGAACCAAACUCCUAUAAAUUGGGUUUGAGUUUGCAGUUUGUCCAAUCGGGAGGGAGAGCGAACACAGACGUCUGAGUAAAGGAGAGAGCUGUCAAUCAUUUCAGGUCUACCCCUAAUGAUGUCCGUCCUCAGCAGAAAAUGUCUCCCGGACGGCGGCGGAAUGAAGAGUUCUUGUGGAGAUAUUUGGGAUGGAUUCGUGUUUUCCUGCAGCGCGAGUAUGAAGCAGCAGCCGCAUGACAGAACAGCGAGACAUAAACACAUUAGUAUACUGCUGCAUAUUGUAAUGUGUCCCUGACAUUUCCUCCCAAUUAUUCACUAAUGCUGCAUCCACAGCAAUGUCCCCGCAUUUAUCACUGGAAAUUGAUGCAAUUUAUAUUCAUCCAGCACAAUGACACAAUACGCAGUAUGGAACGGAUCCCCUACUUCAACAGGAAGCCACGGAGUGUGAAUGGAAAUGGUGAGAUAAGAUAUUUAACAGCUGCAGCAGCAACAGGAACUGAAGAUUUAGAGGCUUUAAGGACAAAUCCAGCCUGGAUUCUUCUUCUGCUCGUUGCUCUUCUGGCUUCCACGCG
ensembl:lncRNA